UAAAGCGGGUGAAAAGCCCGCUCGCCGGAAGACCAAGGGUUCCUGUCCAACGUUAAUCGGGGCAGGGUGAGUCGACCCCUAAGGCGAGGCCGAAAGGCGUAGUCGAUGGGAAACGGGUUAAUAUUCCCGUACUUGGUGUUACUGCGAAGGGGGGACGGAGAAGGCUAUGUUGGCCGGGCGACGGUUGUCCCGGUUUAAGCGUGUAGGUGUGUGUUCCAGGUAAAUCCGGUUCACUUUAACACUGAGGCGUGAUGACGAGGCACUACGGUGCUGAAGCAACAAAUGCCCUGCUUCCAGGAAAAGCCUCUAAGCAUCAGGUAACAUCAAAUCGUACCCCAAACCGACACAGGUGGUCAGGUAGAGAAUACCAAGGCGCUUGAGAGAACUCGGGUGAAGGAACUAGGCAAAAUGGUGCCGUAACUUCGGGAGAAGGCACGCUGACAC
rnacentral:rRNA from 1 species